rnacentral:rRNA from 1 species
AGCGAACGUUAGCGGCGGGCUUAACACAUGCAAGUCGCACGAGAACGAGGGGGCAACUCCUCUAGUAAAGUGGCGCACGGGUGCGUAACACGUAGGUGAACUACCCUCCGAUGGGGGACAACCGGCCGAAAGGCUGGCUAAUACCGCGUAAGUCAACGGGGGCAUUCGAGCCCUGUUGGGAAAGCGGCCCUCUUCACGAAAGGUCGCGUCGGAGGUUGUGCCUGCGGCCCAUCAGCUAGUUGGUGAGGAAUGGCUCACCAAGGCUAAGACGGGUAGCUGGUCUGAGAGGAUGAUCAGCCACACUGGAACUGAGACACGGUCCAGACUCCUAC